rnacentral:misc_RNA from 1 species
AAAGUCGUAACAAGGUUUCCCUUCCCCUACUGAAGCCUUUUGCAACGACGGUAAAUAAAUGCACAGUUUGCUUCUGCAAGCAAUGCCACUCAAAUGCUGAGACGCUAUGAAUCAGCAGCCUUUAGGGCUCACAGAUCAGAUAGUGGUAACCAUUCUUAUGGGUAAGAUAUGACCGGUCUUAACUAGAGUUAGUUAAAAUCAACGUUCCGUAGGUGAACCUGCGGAAGGAUCAUUACAAAUCGCGAGCGUGCCAAAAGCCGCUCUAUAUGUUCGGGGCAGCAAUGCUUCGUGACAUUUACGCUUGUAUGUUUGACAGAGUUAGAUGUGACUUAAUAAAGACAACUUUUAACAAUGGAUCUCUUGGCUCUU